rnacentral:lncRNA from 1 species
UGUAUGGACAGCCAUGUAGAAAUAUGAUUGGACAAAAAAUGUGUAAUAUAAUGGUAAUAGACUGAGCGGGGAAAUGCAGCAAGGCCUGUCUGGUUAGAUUCUUCUUGGCCUUUCUGCGGAGCAUUCCUUCCUUCUGAGUCUCGGGCAGGGCCCUCUCUGGAAUGGAGGUCUUGGGACCUACAAUGAAACAAGACAGAUCAGCGACUCAGAACCAAAACCAGCAUGCUUUUUAUAAUUUCACCAUGGAUGCACUAGCCAUCUCCAAAGAGCAG